CUCCUACGGGAGGCAGCAGUGAGGAAUUUUCGUCAAUGGGGGCAACCCUGAACGAGCAACGCCGCGUGCAGGAAGAAGGUCUUCGGAUCGUAAACUGCUUUUCUCUGGGACGAGCAAGGACGGUACCAGAGGAAUCAGCCUCGGCUAACUACGUGCCAGCAGCCGCGGUAAUACGUAGGAGGCGAGCGUUGUCCGGAGUUACUGGGCGUAAAGCGCACGCAGGCGGUCCAAUUAGUCUGUAGGGACAGGGCACAGCUUAACUGUGUCAGGCUUACGGAAACUGUUGGACUUGAGGGCUCACGAGGGAUGGGGAAUUCCGGGUGGAGUGGUGAAAUGCGUAGAGAUCCGGAAGAACACCAAAGGCGAAGGCACCAUCCUGGGGAGUCACUGACGCUCGGGUGCGAAAGCUAGGGGAGCGAACGGGAUUAGAUACCCCGGUAGUCCUAGCCGUAAACGAUGACCAUUAGAUGUGCGGGGGAUCGACCCCCUGCGUGUCGAAGCAUACGCAUUAAAUGGUCCGCCUGGGGAGUACGGUCGCAAGAUUAAAACUCAAAGGAAUUGACGG
rnacentral:rRNA from 1 species